rnacentral:sRNA from 1 species
CUCUGGGCUGCCAAGGAGUGAAUGGCGAGUGGGCUGAGGAGCUUGCUGGAAGUUGCAUUGCUUGAAGUUGAGGACACCGGCGUGCACUAUGGCCUUGAACACUGCAAAUCUGACAUUUGCCUAAGUAAGGCUUGAAAGUACGUUGCCCGGACUUGUUGUAUGUUGACGGCUGCGAGUUGGUGUUGGUGUUGUUGUUGUGUGUGUUGCCUUGGUAGCGGUUCUUGUGCUGGUUUUGAUUGCAGUUGUUGUUGAAGUUACGUUGCUGAACUGCAUUGGCUGACAUAGGAAAAGAGGAUGAAGGAGGUACCUCAUCAGAGAGUAACUUGGAUUCAUGAUUAAUGAGUCGUUCAUGAAUCUCGGUGAUAGUCGGUGUGUUAUCCUUUCCUUCAAUUUGAUCAACAACAGUUUUGUAUUCUUCAGGAAGACCCUUGAGGAUGUGUUCCACUUGUUCUUCAUGCUCCAUAGGUUUCCCAAGGAUAGCUAGCUGAUCCAAGCGAGUGGUGUGACUUUGCACAUAUUCGUCAAUGGUUUUGGUUCCCUUCGUGAGACGCUGGAUUUGUUGCCGGAGCUGCUUGAUGUGGCCGUAACUUGGCUUGGCAUAGGUGUUGUUGAGAGUGGACCAGAUCUGAGACGAGUUAGUGGCUCGUGACACCAAAGAUUGCACGGCAGGAGAGAUGGCUCCGAUCAAAGCACUGAAGAUCAACUUGUCUUGUCGUUUCCAGAGAGUAAACGACGGAUUGGCAGAGACAACACUGUUGAUGGUGGUUGUUUCUGGUGGGAUGACAACAGAGUUAUCAAGAUAACCUGCUAGAUCAUAACCAUCAAGCAAGGCAUGGAUCUGAAUACUCCACAUCAAAUAGUUGGUCGAUGUGAGCUUAGUGACAUUCGACGUAUUGACGUUAAAGAGUGUCUGAGGGGUGAGAACGAUAGCUUCGUCUCUAGUGGCGGGGAGGCCGUUGACUUGAGACAUGAUUGGCGGCUAGGUUUUGAAAAGAAGAAAAAGAAAAGAAAAGUAGGUUUUAGGAUAUCGAAGCUCUGAUACCAUGUAAAUGCUUAAUGUAUUGAAUAUUAUUAGAGUAGGAAUGUACAUAUAUAUACUAAGGCACAGCCCUAUGAUUAGGGAUUAACUAAUUACAAUUAUGUCCUUUAAGACUUCAUGUUUAAUAUACUCUAUAUCUAAUACCAAGAAUUUCAAGUUUUUUUUU